rnacentral:rRNA from 1 species
GACGUAGGGGGCAAGCGUUGUCCGGAAUUACUGGGCGUAAAGCGCGUGCAGGCGGUUCGGUAAGUCCCGUGUGAAAGCCUACGGCUCAACCGCAGGAGGCCGCGGGAGACUGCCGGACUCGAGGACAGGAGAGGGAAGUAGAAUUCCCGGUGUAGCGGUGAAAUGCGUAGAUAUCGGGAGGAAUGCCAGUGGCGAAGGCGGCUUCCUGGCCUGUUCCUGACGCUGAGACGCGAAAGCUGGGGGAGCAAACGGG